UUACACUUACCAGUUGUCAAACAUAAAGUGAUUUGCAUGGAUACAUGCGUCACCACAAGCCACCAAGCCCUCUGGAGGAACAUGAUUCAGAGUAAACGGCCCUGUCCCACGG